GAGAUAAUUCACUCUGGAAAUGUACAAAUCAGUUGUGCAGCCAUUACCAUGAUCUAAUUAUAGAACAUUUCUGUCACCUUAGAAACACAUGCCCAUUAGCAGACACUUCUAAGUUUCCCCACCCACUACCUUACACAUACACCUGCCCCUGCAGCCAUUGAUCUUUAUGUCUAUAGGCUGGUCAGUUUGGGACUUUGCCUAUAAAUGGAAUUCAACAUAUAGCCUUUUAUAGCUGGAUUCUUUCAUUUAGUUAUGUUUUUGAGGCAGUCUUGCUAUGUAGUUCAGGCUGACCUUGAGCUCACUAUAUUGCCCAGGCUGCAAUCCUCCUGCCUCAGCCUCCCAAGUGCUGAGAUUACAGGUGUGUGCUAUAAUGCCCAGCUUUCAUUCCUUUUUUUCCCUUAAUAUUCCACUGUAUGACUAUAUCACAUUUUGUCCAUCAGUUGAUGGUCAUUUGGACUGUUCACUUCUUAGCUAUUAGGAAUCAUAUUGAUGCAAACAUUUGUCUAUAAAUUUUGUGUUUUCAGUUUCCCUGGGCUGCUGAGUUAUUUGGUCACUUUUUUUGUUUUUUGGCCACAUUUUCACCAUUGUACAUUCCCACCAACAGUGCUUUUGCCAUAUAUUCUUUUUUUAGCCAGCCUGGUGGGUGUAAAGUGGUCACAGCUUACAGAUGUCUGCUUUCUUGUAUAAGUAGUGGUGAAUUGGAGAAUAGCCCACUGAUGUUUUAGAUUGUAAAUUCAGUCAAUGAUUGAUCCAGUAAGUAUGAGGAGCACAGCCUAUACCUAGCAGAAUUAACACAGUCUGCCUCCGCCGUUGACCAGCCUUUAACCUUGAGGUAGGUCACCUUUCUGACUAAAUUUUCUCAUCGAUAGUAAUAACUAUCCAGUCCAUGGAGUGGUGGGCACUACUUCAGGGAGCAUUUCCACCUACCCCAGUGUCCCAGGCACUGUGGGAUUAGGGCAGGGCUCCAAAGUGAAGUGGCUUGGAGGAGCUCACAGUGUUGAGUUUGGGCUUGGGUGGUGUAGAACUGCCAUAGGAUAUGGCUCUGUGUGCUGAGUGUCAGGCUCCAUCCGUGAGGACAAGAGGUGUGUCACCCAGAUCCUUAAGGGAAUAAUCUGGAACACUGAACUAUGCCAGUGGAAUGGUUCUCAUGAAUCCCCAUGUAGCCCACUUCGGCUGUCCUUCCAGCACCAGCUCCUGGUUUUUUUGAUAAAUACCUGCUCUGAGCCACCUACUCCCUAUCAGCCAGGAACUUGGCCCAGAAGAGGCACUUGACAGGUGCAUCAGCAUGGUAGCUGGCCUGAGGAGGGUGAACUGCAGGGGCCAUGGUGCCCAGAGAAAAUAGGGACAGAGGAGGUAAAGAGGAGACUAGAGGAGGGGAAGUCUGAAGGACCAUCCUGAGUCCACCACUCCGCCUGACCUGACCCUUGCCUUCCCCAGCCAGGCUGCAGCCUCUUUGGCAGCCUGCUUACCACCUGAUGUUCAGAGAUCUUUGCUUCAGGGAAGCCCUGCCUGAGGACCCACAGGAGGUCCAAUGGUUCAGUCUCCACAGAGAUCUUUGAAAUCUGUAGAACAGAUUAUACCGUGCCCCAGGUCACUCUGGAGACUUAACUGCACUUAAGGUAUCAUCCAGACACCUGUCCUUGGCCUGUGAUUGUUCUCCAUCUGCCGCUCCUU
ensembl:lncRNA